GAUUUGACGAUCUUUCUUAAUUGCAGAAAAUUAUCAACUUUAAUGAUGAUUAAAAAAAGAGAUAAUAAUAUCGUCGGGAAAGAAGUUAUUAAGUUCCACGAGUCAGCGAAUGCAACGUGCUCCCAUUGGAAUAUUAAAAUGAUCCGCCAUUAGUUUAAUAAACCUGUCUUCUUUGUUCCCUUCGUCCAAGAGCCUUUUCCAUGCUCCUCGAAGACUUUCGUCGCAGCAGUCGCAGAUGUCACUGUACCCCUAAUGAGCACGCUAUUUUUCACCAGUAUUUUUAUCCCGUUUAUUGGCUGCCCGUUUCACAAACUGUCAGCCGGAUAUUAAUCAUCCUACUAUUACGACUCUGCCUUUAUUUCUUCUAAGGAUAAAGAAUGAAAGGACCGUCGGAGUAGAGGGGAUGGAAGAUGAACGUUGAAACACAAUAAAUUCGGCUGGACUGAAGUUAAUACAGGGUUUCAUAGGAAAGAAUAACGGAACCAAGGAAGAAGCCCAAAAGCCAUGUUCUUCGCGCAACACACUACACUGCUUGAUCGUCAUUUUCGGUUGAAGAUCGACUAGCAGUAACGAAGACAACUAUCGAAUACGGUGUAGAUUUUGCGAAUAAUUCCUAAAAGCACUGGCAUAAUGAGAAAGAUACGAAACGUGCAAAGAAAAUGAGUUUUCAUAUGAAACGUGAAAGUAGAGUGCAAUUAAAAAUGUACAUACGGUUUGGAGAUAGCUGGAAACUUAAUUAAGUAUGAAUUAUUAAAAAUAAAAGAGCUACAAUGUAAAGGGUGGAUCAAUUAUAUUUCGUAUAAUGCUUUGUAUACAUUUCCACAUUUCUAUACCAUGAAGAAAUUGUUACCUUUUAUUUAUUUUUCUAAGUAAGUGCAUUGUAUUAUAAACUGGUUCUCAUUGAAUGUUAUCAGUAUCUAGUGACAAAUGAUACAACUGUUAUUUCGAAACUGCGUUAUCGACCUAUAGUACGAGUCUUUACAUCAAGUUACAAGGAAAGGUAUAAUCGUUGACUAAGUACAGUAAAUUUAAGAAGUUAUACGAUAAUCUUGAGAAUGAAAUCUAAUUCUAUAGUAAUUCACGCACUUAACUAUCUGUAUUAAAACAUAAAUAAUCUGAAUUAGAACGUAAUAUAUGUAUUAGAACAGAAUAUAUAACACAUUUAACUUAAUUCUAACAUAAAUAAUUUAUUUUUACAACAUAAUUAUUGUAUAAGCAUUUCUUUUAAACUAUUAUAAAUUAGUAGCCGUAUUUCUUACAAGUCAUGAACUGCUAUCUACUACGCAGUGAACGAACUGAAACUUCAAGAGUUUUCGGAUAGAUGGCAGCACAUGGCCUGUCAGUAAACAAGGAACGCAUUUGUGUCGGACAAGGACAGACAUAUAUUUUGUUAGAGGAAGAGAGCAAUAUUGUGCGAUAAGGACAGAUAUACGAGCGGUGUUUGAAUUGGUCGGCAAGGAAGAAGCGAGGGAGAGGGGGAAAAUUAUAAAUUGCUGUUAAACUAUUUCGAUUUAUUAAAACUAAUCAAUACAAAAAAAGAAUAAUUUGUUUUUCAUAUUUAAUUGUACUUUUAAGCAAUCGAAACAAUACGAUUGAAAAUGGUUCCAUAUAAGUACACGGAGUCUAUGCAUGUAAACCAUCUUUAACUUUAUUAAAUCUGAUUAAAUUGUACUAUAGUAGGGGAGAAAUAAAAUUUGCACGUUUGAUACAAUACAAUACAAAUACAAUAUAAAUAUAAAUAUAAUGCAAUAAAAUAUAAUACGAAAAAU